rnacentral:lncRNA from 1 species
UAUCGAAAAAUUAUCCAAAUUAUAAAAUUCGGAAAAAAGAUGAAAUUCUUUUAUGGCCAAACGGUCCCUUGAAUAACAUAAACAAUCCAGUCAAGCAACCAUGAUAGUCUAAUUGCUGACAAAUUUUAUUGAUUCCAUCUACAAACACAUCUAAAUACAACAACAGCCUCAAAUAUCAUAGAUACAUAGACAAACCUCUCAUUCAUAUUAGAUGAAGAAAUAGAUAGAAAGAGACUAAAAAGAAAAAGAACUAGAGACAUACAUACAUAGCCAAACCUCUCAUUCUAACCCUAAACCAUAUUAUAUGAAAUGCAGUGCUUUGAGCAAUACCAGCUACCAAUACAGGUUUGGUCUCAGAUGAGUAUCAUAAUGUGAGACAUGAAAUGAUGGGGUUGUACCUGUCUCAUUCCUAGGAAGUGAUCUUAGGUACAUUUCUUCACCUGAUAAUAAUUUUGGCACCACAUUGGGGCUGAAUGUGGUUGGUGACGAUUCAUGUAGUGGACUCCAACUUGGGGAUUGAGACGUAGUAGUUGUUGUACUGAGGCAAAAAGGAUAGGUGGGGUACACUGAUUUACUAGAAAACGGAAGACCAUAACUCGAGGGAGUAUUAAGAUAGUUGAAUCCAGAGGAAUAUGGUAGACCUUUGUGUAAGGUGUUUUCUAAGACAGGCCUCUGUGAAGGUUGUCCAGAACCGACAUCUGUGAAAGGUCGGAUGGAAAAAGGCAUUUUCAAAGACAGGCCUUUGUGAAGGUAGACCAGAACCAACAUCUGUGAUAGGUCGGACUCGGGUGGAAUGAGAAGAAAACCUAUUUCCUGUAAUAGCAUUUGAUCCAGACUCCAUGUAAGGGGUUCUACGGAAUUUAUCAGAGCCAUUUUCAAGAGAAUAAUUUGCUGACAACCUUGAAAGCAACCCCGGGUAGUUGGCAGUUGUAGUUGCUUCGGGUUGAAAAUCUGUUGGUAGUCUGAAAAAGCCAGGGCACCCAGGUGGUAUAUCUAAUCUGUCCUCAAUUCUAGUUGUAGGAAUAGAAUGUCCUACAGUCUC